rnacentral:rRNA from 1 species
GUCUAAAGGGCAGCAAUGUCCUUGGCGCACGGGUGCGUAACACGUAUGCAACCUGCCCACAACUGGGGGAUAACCCUCCGAAAGGGGGAUAAUACCGCAUGACACAGGGGGCCCGCAUGGGCAUAUUGUUAAAGCUUCGGCGGUUGUGGAUGGGCAUGCGGGCGAUUAGCUAGUUGGCGGGGUAACGGCCCACCAAGGCGACGAUCGCUAGGGGAACUGAGAGGUUGGUCCCCCACACUGGCACUGAGAUACGGGCCAGACUCCUACGGGAGGCAGCAGUAGGGAAUAUUGGUCAAUGGGCGGAAGCCUGAACCAGCCAUGCCGCGUGCAGGAAGAAGGCCCUCCGGGUUGUAAACUGCUUUUGACGGAGAAUAAAACACCGCUGCGGCGGGGAUUGAGUGUACCCGUAGAAUAAGCCACGGCUAACUACGUGCCAACAGCCGCGGUAAUACGUAAGUGGCAAGCGUUGUCCGGAUUUAUUGGGUUUAAAGGGUGCGUAGGCGGCCCGUUAAGUCAGUUGUGAAAUACCCCGGCUCAACCGGGGGGGUGCGAUUGAUACUGGCGGGCUUGAGUUGCAGCGAGGUUGGCGGAAUUGACGGUGUAGCGGUGAAAUGCAUAGAUAUCGUCAAGAACACCGAUAGCGAAGGCAGCCAACUAGGGGCAAACUGACGCUGAGGCACGAAAGUGCGGGGAUCAAACAGGAUUAGAUACCCUGGUAGUCCGCACCGUAAACGAUGAUCACUCGAUG